GGUUCAAUGGCGUAGUGGUUAUCGCAUCUGUCUUACAUAUUCGGUCUAGUUAAGAUUGUACACAGAAGGUCUCCGGUUCGAUCCCGGGUUGAACCA